AAAAUUUUAGUUUAAUUAAAAUAAUUUAUUUACAAUAAAUAGUUUAUUGAAAAUAAUAAAAUUUUA
rnacentral:tRNA from 1 species